UUGCAAAUAUUCUCGCUGUUUUGAUUUUAUAAUAAUCAGCACAGGCUAAACAUUCACUAUAUAAAAACCAUGCAUGUGUCCCCCAGACCUAGUUCUUUUCCUACGUUUGGUUUUAUAAAUGUUGGUGAUAAAU